UUCAGUUAUUUGUGUUUAAUUGUCCAGACUCAUCAGGAUUAGUUCUACCUGUGUGUUGGAGUAAAGUCUUUUGGAACAUUUAUCUUCUUCCUCCUGCAUUUGUAUUCAGCUACUGAAACUGUAAUACUGAAACUGUCUGCUGGUGUUAUUGCAUUAAUGGCAUCUCACAGUAAGAAGGAAUUAAACACUACAUGUGUUUUUUUUUUUAAAACCAUAGGUGCAGUUUGCGCAGGUUUUAUCACCACAGUCCUCUGAUUUCACGCGUUUUCAUGAUCUUAACAUCUCAGAGACAACUGUGGCAAGCAGCUCUUCCAUUCAUCAUCAGCCUGCAGACACUCCUCCACAAUACAGUGAAUCCAAAUAAAUAUGAAUAAGUGGGCUGUUACCUUAUGAAACAAAA